AUGAGAAAGGAGUUUGGGGGCUUUGGGAUUACUGACAUUGGGGACAUGAAUCUGGCUUUAUUAGCUUCUUGGAUUAGUAGGUACUAUAACUUUGAGGGUAAGAUCUGGAAAAACAUCACUGAUUCCAAAUAUAAUCUGCAGAGUAAUAUAUUUGCUUGUUCUAAUUCUGGAGCAUCCCCUUUCUGGAAAGGGGUGCUCUGGGCAGCUCAAGCUGUUAAAGUUGGUUUCUCUUGGAAGAUUGGUAAUGGCAAGAGGGUUAGGUUCUGGGAAGAUCAUUGGUUCGGCAAUGCCACUCUGGCUACCCAGUACUGGGACCUUUAUGUACUAGCCAAUGAGCAAAAUCCCACCAUUGAUAAAAUAUGGGAUGGCCAUACCCUUAAGCUUACCUUUCGGAGAUGUUUCACAUAGGAAUAGUUGUCUUUAUGGUUCGAACUUUUGUAAAUUGCUAGCUCUAUCCAUCUUACAGAUGAAGAUGACUCCCUAGUUUGGAAUAUGAAUUCCAAAGGGGUUUACUCUGUUAAAUCCUUUUAUAAAUUUGUUAAUUUUAGGGGGGUGCUACCAAUCAGCUCCCCUGCCAUUUGGAAGAUCAAGAUCCCCCCUAGAAUUCAGAUUUUUCUUUGGCUUUUAACUAAUAACAAGCUGCUAACCAGAGAUAACCUGUGCAAAAGGCAGAAUGUAGAUGACCUUACUUGUGUUUUUUGCAACGAACAAGAAUCUUGUUCUCAUCUAUUUAGUACUUGUGUUGUUGCUGUUGAAUUCUGGAAAGCCAUCUGUGUCCUUACUGGAGUUAAUGAUGACAUCAAUAUAAUGUCCAUCUUCUCCUGCUGGAUCAGAGGAGAUAGCUUUGCUGCGACUAAUAUUGUUCAUGCAGCUGGGCUGUGGGCUGAUACGUCUCCAAUGUAUCUAUAA
rnacentral:rRNA from 1 species